GACGAACGCUGGCGGCGUGCCUAAUACAUGCAAGUCGAACGCUUUUUCUUUCACCGGAGCUUGCUCCAUCGAAAGAAAAAGAGUGGCGAACGGGUGAGUAACACGUGGGUAACCUGCCCAUCAGAAGGGGAUAACACUUGGAAACAGGUGCUAAUACCGUAUAACACUAUUUUCCGCAUGGAAGAAAGUUGAAAGGCGCUUUUGCGUCACUGAUGGAUGGACCCGCGGUGCAUUAGCUAGUUGGUGAGGUAACGGCUCACCAAGGCAACGAUGCAUAGCCGACCUGAGAGGGUGAUCGGCCACACUGGGACUGAGACACGGCCCAGACUCCUACGGGAGGCAGCAGUAGGGAAUCUUCGGCAAUGGACGAAAGUCUGACCGAGCAACGCCGCGUGAGUGAAGAAGGUUUUCGGAUCGUAAAACUCUGUUGUUAGAGAAGAACAAGGAUGAGAGUAAAAUGUUCAUCCCUUGACGGUAUCUAACCAGAAAGCCACGGCUAACUACGUGCCAGCAGCCGCGGUAAUACGUAGGUGGCAAGCGUUGUCCGGAUUUAUUGGGCGUAAAGCGAGCGCAGGCGGUUUCUUAAGUCUGAUGUGAAAGCCCCCGGCUCAACCGGGGAGGGUCAUUGGAAACUGGGAGACUUGAGUGCAGAAGAGGAGAGUGGAAUUCCAUGUGUAGCGGUGAAAUGCGUAGAUAUAUGGAGGAACACCAGUGGCGAAGGCGGCUCUCUGGUCUGUAACUGACGCUGAGGCUCGAAAGCGUGGGGAGCGAACAGGAUUAGAUACCCUGGUAGUCCACGCCGUAAACGAUGAGUGCUAAGUGUUGGAGGGUUUCCGCCCUUCAGUGCUGCAGCAAACGCAUAAUGCACUCCGCCUG
rnacentral:rRNA from 1 species